AUUGAACGCUGGCGGCAGGCCUAACACAUGCAAGUCGAGCGGAUGAAGGGAGCUUGCUCCUGGAUUCAGCGGCGGACGGGUGAGUAAUGCCUAGGAAUCUGCCUGGUAGUGGGGGAUAACGUCCGGAAACGGGCGCUAAUACCGCAUACGUCCUGAGGGAGAAAGUGGGGGAUCUUCGGACCUCACGCUAUCAGAUGAGCCUAGGUCGGAUUAGCUAGUUGGUGGGGUAAAGGCCUACCAAGGCGACGAUCCGUAACUGGUCUGAGAGGAUGAUCAGUCACACUGGAACUGAGACACGGUCCAGACUCCUACGGGAGGCACCAGUGGGGAAUAUUGGACAAUGGGCGAAAGCCUGAUCCAGCCAUGCCGCGUGUGUGAAGAAGGUCUUCGGAUUGUAAAGCACUUUAAGUGGGGAGGAAGGGCAGUAAGUUAAUACCUUGCUGUUUUGACGUUACCAACAGAAUAAGCACCGGCUAACUUCGUG
rnacentral:rRNA from 1 species